GAGUUUGAUCCUGGCUCAGGAUGAACGCUGGCUGUGUGCCUAAUACAUGCAUGUCGAACGAAGCACUUGUGCUUAGUGGCGAAUGGGUGAGUAACACGUACUUAAUCUACCCUCAAGUUUGGGACAACAUUUGGAAACGAAUGCUAAUACCGAAUAUUUAUUACUUCCGCAUGGAAGAAAUAUAAAAGGAGCGUUUGCUCCGCUUAAGGAUGAGAGUGCGUUGCAUUAGUUAGUUGGUAGGGUAAAGGCCUACCAAGACGAUGAUGCAUAGCGGGGUCGAGAGGCUGAACCGUCACACUGGGACUGAGAUACGGCCCAGACUCCUACGGGAGGCAGCAGUAGGGAAUUUUCCACAAUGAACGAAAGUUUGAUGGAGCAACACAGCGUGCAGGAUGAAGGUCUUCGGAUCGUAAACUGCUGUUAUAAGAGAAGAACAAGUUUGAUAGGAAAUGAUCAAACCCUGACGGUAUCUUAUCAGAAAGCACCGGCAAACUAUGUGCCAGCAGCCGCGGUAAUACAUAGGGUGCAAGCGUUAUCCGGAAUUAUUGGGCGUAAAGCGUUCGUAGGCGGUUUAUUAAGUCUAGAGUUAAAUACUGGGGCUCAACCCCAGCUCGCUCUGGAUACUGGUAGACUAGAGUUAUAGAGAGAUUAGCGGAACUCCAUGUGAAGCGGUGGAAUGCGUAGAUAUAUGGAAGAACACCAAUAGCGAAGGCAGCUAAUUGGCUAUACACUGACGCUGAGGAACGAAAGCGUGGGGAGCAAACAGGCGUGGGGAGCAAACAGGAUUAGAUACCCUGGUAGUCCACGCCGUAAACGAUGAUCGUUAGCCGGUGGGCUCAGUUCACUGGCGCAGCUAACGCGUUAAACGAUCCGCCUGAGUAGUAUGCUCGCAAGAGUGAAACUUAAAGGAAUUGACGGGGACCCGCACAAGCGGUGGAGCAUGUGGUUUAAUUUGAAGAUACGCGGAGAACCUUACCCACUUUUGACAUCUUCUGCAAUGCUAUAGAGAUAUAGUGGAGGUUAACAGAAUGACAGAUGGUGCAUGGUUGUCGUCAGCUCGUGUCGUGAGAUGUUAGGUUAAGUCCUGCAACGAGCGCAACCCCUAUCAUUAGUUACUAAUAUUAAGUUAAGGACUCUAAUGAGACUGCCUGGGUAACCAGGAGGAAGGUGGGGACGACGUCAAAUCAUCAUGCCUCUUACAAGUGGGGCUACACACGUGCUACAAUGGGCAGUACAGAAUGAUGCAACAUGGCAACAUUUAGCAAAACACAAAAACUGCUCUCAGUUCGGAUUGGAGUCUGCAACUCGACUCCAUGAAGUUGGAAUCGCUAGUAAUCGUAGGUCAGCAAUACUACGGUGAAUACGUUCUCGGGUCUUGUACACACCGCCCGUCACACCACGGGAGCCGAUAAUGCCCGAAGCCGGUUGGUUAACUUCGGAUGCUGCUGUCUAAGGCAGGAUUGGUAACUGGGGUGAAGUCGUAACAAGGUAUCCCUACGAAAACGUGGGGCUGGAUCACCUCCUUUCU
rnacentral:rRNA from 1 species